rnacentral:rRNA from 1 species
UACGUAGGGUCCGAGCGUUGUCCGGAAUUACUGGGCGUAAAGAGCUCGUAGGUGGUUUGUCGCGUUGUUCGUGAAAACUCACAGCUUAACUGUGGGCGUGCGGGCGAUACGGGCAGACUUGAGUACUGCAGGGGAGACUGGAAUUCCUGGUGUAGCGGUGGAAUGCGCAGAUAUCAGGAGGAACACCGGUGGCGAAGGCUGGUCUCUGGGCAGUAACUGACGCUGAGGAGCGAAAGCGUGGGGAGCGAACAGG